CGACUAUGUUUCACUGAAAAAUUAAGUCUGCAGGUUACUGAGCCUUGCGUUUGAUGAUCUACUUUAGGAUUUGAAAAUGCAAGACAUAUUUUUUAGAGGCGAACAACCUGAAGGAGGUGACAACAUUCUUUGAAAUGGAAUGGCAGUGGAAAGGAGAAAGAUUGGGAGGGAAGAGAUAGGGACGAAUGCCAAAGUAGCCUGCCUCGGUUGGUCACCUACUGUUUUAAGUUCAAAUUGUAGCUGAAUUAACAUACUAUUAAGUUCAAAUUGUAGCUGAAUUGCCAAACUAAAAAACACGGGAGCUUUAUUGUGUA